UUAAUCCUAGCACUCAGGAGGCAGAGGAGUUCCAAGACAGCCAAGACUACACAGAGAAACUCUGUCUCAAAAAACCAAAGCCAAAACCAAAACAACAACAGCAACAACAAAAAAACAACCAAAUAAACAAACAAAAAACCCAAGAGUGGAAUUAUAUCAUUUACAGGCAAAUAGAUGUGAGUGGAGACAAUCAUAUUAAGUGAAUUAGGUUACUCCAGAAAGAAUAGGUUAAUCCAGAAAUAUCAAAUGUCUUCUUUCCUAUGUGGUUCCUAGAUUUUUAAAGACUUAUUUUUAUUUGUGUGUAUCUGAGUGUGAGUUUGUGCAUGUAGGUGGGUUUGUGCGUGUGCAUGCAGUGCCUAAGGAGACCAGAAGAGGGCACCAGACACCCUGGAGGUGGAGUUCAAGGUGACUGUGAGCUGCCUAAUCUGGGUGCUGGGAACUGAGCUCUGUAUCUCUGAAAAAAGCAGCGAGCACUCCUAACCUCUGAGCCAUCCCUCCACUCACCCUCCCCUCUCCCCAGCCACACACCUGAUUUUAUAUAAGAUAUAUAAAAUAUGUACAGGAAGCAGAAAGAAGUCUAGGAGAACAGAGGGGAUUAAUAGGAGGGCCCCUGAGAGGUGAGAAAGGGGAGCGGAGAGCUCUGGAGAGUGUGCUUAAGGAGCAUUGUACGUCUACAUGAAAAUGUUCUUACAUAGCACAGUACCACCUACAAUGAGUGUGUGCUAGUGGGAACACACACACACACACACACACACACACACACACACACACACAUUGAGACAAGGUCCCUAAUUUAUUUUAUUUUAUUUUUUCUCAAGACAGGGUUUCUCUGUAGCCCUGCUGUCCUGGAACUUACUGUGUAGACCACACUGGCCUCAAACUCACAGAGAUCCACCUGCCUCUGCCUCCUGCAUGCUGGGAUUAAGGUAUAUGCCACCACUGCCUGGCUUGAGAUAAGGUCUCUACAUAGCUUGGUCUGUCCUGGAAGUUACUAUGUAGACCAGGCUGGCCUUCAACUACAGAGGUCCACCUGCCUCUGCUUCCCAAGUUCUGGGAUUAAAAGUGAGUACCACCACAGCUGACCUUCUCCAAUCUAUUUUGUUAGCUAGUAGAAUAGCAAGAUGGCUUUGGGGGCAGGGCUGUUGGUACACCCAAGGAUUUUUUUCUAUCUAUUUUAGGAACUUAGAAAAAUAACAAAUCAAACUCAAAUGAAAUGAGAGGAGGAGGAGUUAAUAACUAUAAGACAAAAUUCAUGAGAUAGGAGAGAAAGGACAAUAGAAAAACAAACUGAGCCAGUAGUCUACUCUAAAAAUACCCAUGGAGGCUCUAUUUUCGUGGCAGUCCAUGAAGCUGAAUAUAUCCUUCCCAGCCACUGGCUGUCAGAAACUCACCCAAGCAGAGGAAGAAUGAAAACUUUACACUUUCUGAGAAGCACAUGGCCACAGAAGUAGUUGCUGAUGCUCUGGGUGAAGAGUGGAAGGGUUAUAUAGUCCCAAUCAGUGGUGGGAACCACCAACAAGGUUUUCCCAGGAAGCAAGGCUCAUGACUCAUGGCAGAGUGUGCCUGCUGUUGAGUAAGGGGCAUUCUUGUGUUGUAGACCAAGAAAAACUACAGAGGAAGUGCAAGUCUGGUUAUUCAUUGUGGAUGCUAAUCUGAAUGUUCUCAAUGUGGUUAUUGUAAAAGGAAGAAGAAGAAGAAGAAGAAGAAGAAGAAGAAGAAGAAGAAGAAGAAGAAGAAGAAGAAGAAGAAGAAGAAGAAGAACUCCUGGACUGACAGAUAACUAUGGUGCCUUGGCAGCUGGGGCUAGAAGAAGCUAGCAGAAUCUGAAAGGUUUUCAAUCUCUCUAAAGUUGAUGUCUGCCGAUACGUUGUCAGAAAGCCCUUCAAGAAGGUAAGAAGGAUAAUGCUUUUUGAACUGAGGUACCGGAGAAGCAGAACCUACGUUCAAGAUCCUGGCAAUGCCUGACCUUGGCUGAGAGCAUGUUGACUUUGGAGAUGGAAAGCUACAGUCUCUUGUAACUCCGACUUAACUUUGAACAGAUCAUCCUCCUGCCGCUACCUCUCACAGGCUUCAAUUACACAUGUGGGCCACCACUAGAAGAUGUGGCUUUGUUGGAGUGGGUAUGGCCUUGCUGAAGGAAGUAUGUCACUGUGGAAGUGGGCUUUGAGGUUUCCUAUGCUCAGGAUACUACCCAGUGUCUCAGACAACUUCCUCUUGCCCACAGGAUGUACGACUCUGAGUUAUUCCUUCAUGCAUGCUGCCAUGCUCCUUGCCACGAUGAUAACAGACUGAACCUCUGAAAGUGUAAGCCAGUCCCCUCAAUUAAAUGUUUUCUUUAUAAGAGUUGCCGUCAUGGGUGUCUUUUCACAGUAAUAGAAAACCCUAAUAAAGAUA